CCCUUAGAUGUCCUGGGCCGCACGCGCGCUACACUGAUGCAUUCAACGAGUAUUUCCUUGGCCGAGAGGCCUGGGCAAUCUUUUAAACCUGCAUCGUGAUAGGGAUAGAUUAUUGCAAUUAUUAAUCUUGAACGAGGAAUUCCUAGUAAACGCAAAUCAUCAAUUUGCAUUGAUUACGUCCCUGCCCUUUGUACACACCGCCCGUCGCACCUACCGAUUGAAUGGUCCGGUGAAAUCUCGGGAUUGUGGCCAGUUCACUUUAUUGGGAGUUGGCUGCGAGAACUUGUCUAAACCUUAUCAUCUAGAGGAAGGUGAAGUCGUAACA
rnacentral:rRNA from 1 species